UCCUUUAUGAACUACUGGAAGUGAUAAUC
rnacentral:piRNA from 1 species